ACUGCGCUGUGAUUGGUUAAAUCCUGCAUGACGUCAUUACCCCUUUAAAUAUGAAUGCCAGCCAGGCUAAUCACCAUUGCGAUCAUUGGAAGCCUCCGCUACGCCAGCUUGGAGCGACGUGCUAGUGCCGGGCGUGCCCUCCCAGCCCUCCCACGUUUUGCAGCAAUGGUCUUCGGUUUGGGUGUCGGUGUCUUCCUGGCGAGUCCAGCAGUUUGGAGGCUUCCACGACGACUCCUUCGGUUUGGAGGAGUGCAGAACGGUUUUUGCUGUCGUUUUGUGUCCACGGGUUUUUGUUUGUUUUCCCGAAUAACGUCGCAGAUUCGUAGACUUCCCGCACCAGCUGUGUAGAAUCCAGGACAAUGGCGACAGCUGUAACUUCAGCAGGACCAGCGGACGCACCUCGAAAACACCUCCUACC